rnacentral:rRNA from 1 species
AUGCAUGUGCUAGUUCAGCAUUAAAUUGCGAAACCGCGGACGGCUCAUUAAAUCAGUUAUAGUUUGUUUCAACAAAGACUAAUUGGAUAACUGCAGUAACUCUGUAGCCAAUACAUGCUUCAAGCCAGGGAAAUUCCUUGGUCAGCAGUUUUAUGUGAAACUGGAUCGCGAUACAUAUCGUGACUUGUUAUGAAUAUAUAUAAUUGAUAGACCUACUCGCCAUUGAGCAGUAGGAACUGGAAUAAAGUUUCUGCCCCAUCAACUUUGGACGGUAGUGUAUUUGACUACGGUGGUUGUAACGGGUAACGGGGAAUCAGGGUUCGAUUCCGGAGAGGGAGCUUGAGAGAUGGCUACCACAUCUAAGGAAGGCAGCAGGCGCGUAAAUUACCCACUUUUGGACCGAAGAGGUAGUGACAAAAAAUAACGAUACAGUACGUUUCGUAUUGUGAUUGGAAUGGAAUGAACUUAAAACAUUUUUAGAGGAACAAGUGGAGGGCAAGUCUGGUGCCAGCAGCCGCGGUAAUACCAGCCUUCACAAGCAUAUACAAAUGUUGUUGCGUUUAAAAAGCUCGUAGUUGAAUUUGUUGUGUACAACCUUUAUCACAUACUAGUUUGUAUGGAAGUGCUGUCACCAUCGUGUUGUCGACUAUGCUUGCGCUUAAUUGUGUUGAGUGUUGGAGAUAUGCGUUUUACUUUGAGAAAAUUUGAGUGUUAAAAGCAGCCUUUGGGCGUGGAUACUGUAGCAUGGAAUAAUAGAAGAUGACUACGUACUCGUUUUGUUGGUCUUGAGUUACGCUGUAAUGGUUGAAAAGGACAGGCGGGGGCAUUCGAAUUGUUACGUUAGAGGUGAAAUUCUUGGAUCGUAGCAAGACGUACUAAAGCGAAGGCAUUUGUCAAGAAUGUUUUUGUUAAUCAAGAACGAUAGUCAGAGUAUUGAAGAGGAUUAGAUACCCUCGUAAUUCUAACUGUAAACGAUACAUGCUUGAGAUCCGUUAUUUUUGAGUAGACUUGACGGGAAGUUAUCCGGGAAACCAAAGUUGAUAUGUUACGGGGGAAGUAUGGUUGCAAAAUCGAAACUUAAAGGAAUUGACGGAAGGGCACCACCAGGAGUGGAGCUUGCGGCUUAAUUUGACUCAACACGGGAAAACUCACCAGAACCAGACAUGAUAAGGAUUCACAUGCGACUUUUUUCUGAUGAUUUCAUGGGUGGUGGUGCAUGGCCGUUCUUAGUUAGUGGAGUGAUCUGUCUGGUUGAUUCCGAUAACGAACGAGAUUUUAUCCUUCUUAGUAGUCUGUACGACACUUACGUACACUCUUCUUAGAGGAACUGUGGGGAAUUAAUACCUUAAGGAAGUUGGGUCAUAACAGGUCUGUGAUGCCCUUAGAUGUUCUGGGCUGCACGCGUGCUACACUGAUAUUGCCAAAAUGUUUUCUAUCUUAUCCGCAGUGGAUUGGGUAAUCAGGUAAUGAAUUAUCUUUCUUGGGAUCGGUAAUUGCAAUUUUAUCGUGAACGAGGAAUUCCUAGUAAGCAUUAGUCAUCAGCUAGUGUUGAUUAUGUCCCUGCCCUUUGUACACACCGCCCGUCGCUACUACUGAUUGGGUGUUCAAGUGAGAUGGUUGGACUUUUG